GUUUCAAAUAUAUUUUAAAAAGUUGAAAUAAUUGUACAGUAAGUGCACAUAUACCAUUUGGAUUCUACAGUUAACAUUUUACUAUUACCUACUUUAUCAUGUAUCUAUUUAUUCAUCUGCAUUUGUAUCUCUCCCCUCCCAACCCAAAUUCAAAUGUUGAAGCCCUAAUGCCCAGAAUGACUGUAUUAAGAGAUGGGACUUCUAAGGAAGUAAUUAAAGUUAAAUGAGGUCAUGAGGGCAGGAGGGCCUUUGCUCUGGAGACCUAAGAGAGCUCGUUUGUUUCUCCCACAAGAACACAAAGAGACCAGACAGUGGCUGCCAGUUGCAAAGAGAAGGGACCUCCAAACAAAAUCUACCUGCCUGACUCCUUGAUGCUAAGCUUCCCAGUUUCUAGAACUUGUGGGAAAGAAAUUUCUCUUGCUUAGGCCACCCAGUCUGUGGUAUUUUGUCACGGCAGACCAAACAGGCUCCAUUAUCAAGCCAAUCUACUGUUUGGAUGCAUUUCCAAGUAAGCAGCCGAUAUCAGAAAACUCCAUCCCUGAACAUGUCUGUGUGUCAUGGCCACGGUUCAAUAUUUAUUGAUGGCUAUUUUUUUUUUCAGUCCUAUUAAAAACAACAUAUAGCUCUGCCACGACACACAACUAAAUUGGUCAGGGUCACUCCAGGUGAACUGGGCUGACACAAAAUAAUCACACAGAGACAGAGAAAAUACCUUUUUCUUGGGGUUCAGCAACGGCUCCUCUGCCCCAGCUCCCAAAAGGGAGGCAAGAGAGGCUGGCAAAAAGAGAGUGAGCGGGCACACCUGAAGCCCUGUUUACUGAGGGGAAGACACUCGAGAAAGUUCCACCCAAUUGAGGUAAGGGAGGGGCUGGGGUUGUGGCUCAAUGGUACAGUGCUUGCCUAACAUGUGUGAGGCACUGGGUUUGAUCCUCAGCACCACAAACAAAUAAAAUAAAGGUGUUGUGUCCACCUACAACUAAAAAAUAGCCCAGUCUCAUUGUGUGACACCCACUCUCAGAGCUUCAAUCCCCUGCGGAGCAGAGGUAGGGUCCAGAGUCUGUAAACAAGUCAAAAUAACACCUGGCAUUUUGCCAGGGGAAUGUUAGAGUUCGGAAACAAGUCUGGAUGGUGCCUGGCAAAAUGCCAGAGGGAGUGGUUUGAGAAGUAACAAAAGCCAGCCAUUAAGUGUGGAGAGUCCUGAUUGGUUGACUGCUGUAUCUAGUUAAUGUUAAUUAGAUAAGCUGUGUGGAAUGUAUAAAUACUGCUCCUGUCCUGCAAUAAACGGCUUCCACUCCUGCUGUGUCAAUCUACACAAGUUGUUCGUCACCCCCCCCCCCAAGUGUCGGUGCUCACUCCUGUGUGGCAGCACAUGGCUCAGUGUGCUAGCGCAAGCCUGUAAUCCCAGAGGCUCAGG
rnacentral:lncRNA from 1 species